GGCGGCGUGCCUAAUACAUGCAAGUCGAACGAGUUCUGAUUAUUGAAAGGUGCUUGCAUCUUGAUUUAAUUUUGAACGAGUGGCGGACGGGUGAGUAACACGUGGGUAACCUGCCCUUAAGUGGGGGAUAACAUUUGGAAACAGAAGCUAAUACCGCAUAAAUCCAAGAACCGCAUGGUUCUUGGCUGAAAGAUGGCGUAAGCUAUCGCUUUUGGAUGGACCCGCGGCGUAUUAGCUAGUUGGUGAGGUAACGGCUCACCAAGGCAAUGAUACGUAGCCGAACUGAGAGGUUGAUCGGCCACAUUGGGACUGAGACACGGCCCAAACUCCUACGGGAGGCAGCAGUAGGGAAUCUUCCACAAUGGACGCAAGUCUGAUGGAGCAACGCCGCGUGAGUGAAGAAGGCUUUCGGGUCGUAAAACUCUGUUGUUGGAGAAGAAUGGUCGGCAGAGUAACUGUUGUCGGCGUGACGGUAUCCAACCAGAAAGCCACGGCUAACUACGUGCCAGCAGCCGCGGUAAUACGUAGGUGGCAAGCGUUAUCCGGAUUUAUUGGGCGUAAAGCGAGCGCAGGCGGUUUUUUAAGUCUGAUGUGAAAGCCCUCGGCUUAACCGAGGAAGUGCAUCGGAAACUGGGAAACUUGAGUGCAGAAGAGGACAGUGGAACUCCAUGUGUAGCGGUGAAAUGCGUAGAUAUAUGGAAGAACACCAGUGGCGAAGGCGGCUGUCUGGUCUGUAACUGACGCUGAGGCUCGAAAGCAUGGGUAGCGAACAGGAUUAGAUACCCUGGUAGUCCAUGCCGUAAACGAUGAAUGCUAGGUGUUGGAGGGUUUCCGCCCUUCAGUGCCGCAGCUAACGCAUUAAGCAUUCCGCCUGGGGAGUACGACCGCAAGGUUGAAACUCAAAGGAAUUGACGGGGGCCCGCACAAGCGGUGGAGCAUGUGGUUUAAUUCGAAGCAACGCGAAGAACCUUACCAGGUCUCGACAUCUUUUGAUCACCUGAGAGAUCAGGUUUCCCCUUCGGGGGCAAAAUGACAGGUGGUGCAUGGUUGUCGUCAGCUCGUGUCGUGAGAUGUUGGGUUAAGUCCCGCAACGAGCGCAACCCUUAUGACUAGUUGCCAGCAUUUAGUUGGGCACUCUAGUAAGACUGCUGGUGACAAACCGGAGGAAGGCGGGGAUGACGUCAAAUCAUCAUGCCCCUUAUGACCAGGGCUACACACGUGCUACAAUGGAUGGUACAACGAGUUGCGAGACCGCGAGGUCAAGCUAAUCUCUUAAAGCCAUUCUCAGUUCGGACUGUAGGCUGCAACUCGCCUACACGAAGUCGGAAUCGCUAGUAAUCGCGGAUCAGCACGCCGCGGUGAAUACGUUCCCGGGCCUUGUACACACCGCCCGUCACACCAUGAGAGUUUGUAACACCCGAAGCCGGUGGCGUAACCCUUUUAGGGAGCGAGCCGUCUAAGGUGGGACAAAUGAUUAGGGUGAAGUC
rnacentral:rRNA from 1 species